rnacentral:rRNA from 1 species
CGCCUUGCCAGCCCGCUCAGAAACUCAAAGGAAUUGACGGGACCCCGCACAAGCGGUGGAUCAUGUUGUUAAUUCGAUGAUACGCGAAGAACCUUACCAGGUCUUGACAUCCCCCGCGAUGCUUUAGAGAUAAAGCGGAGGUAUUCGGGGAGACAGGUGGUGCAUGGUUGUCGUCAGCUCGUGUCGUGAGAUGUUGGGUUAAGUCCCGCAACGAGCGCAACCCCUAUUGCUAGUUACCAUCAUUAAGUUGGGGACUCUAGCGAGACUGCCAGUGAUAAACUGGAGGAAGGUGGGGACGACGUCAAGUCAUCAUGGCCCUUAUGUCCUGGGCUACACACGUGCUACAAUGGCCGGUACAGAGUGAAGCGAAACCGCGAGGUGAAGCAAAACGCAGAAAGCCGGUCUCAGUACGGAUUGGAGUCUGAAACUCGACUUCAUGAAGUUGGAAUCGCUAGUAAUCGCGCAUCAGCAUGGCGCGGUGAAUACGUUCCCGGGCCUU